AUGAUGUGUCUAGGUGGUUGAGAGGCAGUAGGCCUAUGGGUAUGAUGUGUCUAGGUGGUUGAGAGGCAGUAGGCCUAUGGGUAUGAUGUGUCUAGGUGGUUGAGAGGCAGUAGGCCUAUGGGUAUGAUGUGUCUAGGUGGUUGAGAGGCAGUAGGCCUAUGGGUAUGAUGUGUCUAGGUGGUUGAGAGGCAGUAGGCCUAUGGGUAUGAUGUGUCUAGGUGGUUGAGAGGCAGUAGGCCUAUGGGUAUGAUGUGUCUAGGUGGUUGGUUGAGAGGCAGUAGGCCUAUG